AACGAACGCUGGCGGCGUGCCUAACACAUGCAAGUCGAACGGAAUUUGAGAGCUUGCUCUUAAAUUUAGUGGCGCACGGGUGAGUAACGCGUAGAUAAUCUGCCCGACGAUCUGGGAUAACAGUUCGAAAGGACUGCUAAUACCGGAUAAGCCCACGUGGUCUUUGGACCGUGCGGGAAAAGGGGGGGAACUUCGGGCCUUCUGUCGUCGGAUGAGUCUGCGUACCAUUAGCUAGUUGGUAGGGUAAUGGCCUACCAAGGCUACGAUGGUUAGCUGGUCUGAGAGGAGGAUCAGCCACACUGGAACUGAGACACGGUCCAGACUCCUACGGGAGGCAGCAGUGGGGAAUUUUGCGCAAUGGGCGAAAGCCUGACGCAGCAACGCCGCGUGAGUGAUGAAGGCUUUCGGGUCGUAAAGCUCUGUCAGGGGGAAAGAAGUGUAUUGUGGCUAAUAUCCACGAUACUUGACGGUACCCCCAAAGGAAGCACCGGCUAACUCCGUGCCAGCAGCCGCUGUAAAAC
rnacentral:rRNA from 1 species